UGUGGCUCCUUGUCCUUUACUGCACUGCUGACUGAUCGUGAACACCCUGAAAGAGGACAACAGGGAUUUCAGAUUAAAAACUGGAACAAAAACGGUGUUUAUUGUUAUUGUACAGUGUGUGAUCCCCUGAGACACAAGGACCUCCAGCUCUGACAUGACCUCCAAUGUCCUACCUGUGAGGACUGUAACAGUUAAAGGUCACAGAGAAAUCCUGCAUCAUGCUCUAAUAUACGUUAACAUAUAAACUCCACCUUAAGGAGAUAUAAAGACAGUAAAUGUAGUUGAGGGUCAGACAAGUCCAAAGACGACAAUGAAGUUGGUUUCAUAUGAACAGUUUUGAUUGGCUGUCACAGGGAGGGUUUACGGAAACAAUUAAGGUCCUGAUCCAAAACCGCUGUGCCUGAACUCGUCAGAUCUAGAUCAGAUACUGAAGAAAGGUCUGCAGAUUCACUAAAACGCAGUUUUGGGUUCACGACACAUUCAGUCUAUUUGUACAAAUGAAAUGGAGGGAAAUUUCGCUGCUUUAUGUCACCUCUAGACCACAUCAACUCUUAAUCCAGAACAUAAGAACCCAGACUGGUCGGACCCCUGCAAGAUUCUUCUAGAGAGAAUACAGAGAGCCCGAUCAACUAAGAUCCUAACAAUGCGUGUGCAAACUAAAAAUCGCACGUGCUGUUAGUGGGCGUGUCGUGAGUGGUCUUCUACGAUUGUGUGCACCAUAGACUGUAUUCUAUGGUGUGCACAGGUACAAAAGAGGUGAGACCACUCUAUUUAAAUGAGGAUUUUGCGUGUGACUGUCACCAUGGAGAGUUUGGGUGAGCAGAAAUGAAAAAUGAAGUUUGAAGCCAUUGAGUUGCACUAUCGUUUUGGAGAAGCCAGCAACUGCAUAAAAGUUGUGUUUUGUGUCAUUUACUGCGUCCUGAGUGUAUGGGAACUGAAUAUACUUAUACACUUACUCGACCUACUAUAAUCAUAGAUUCCAAUACUUAAUAUCACAGGUCCAUGUGCUGAGGUAUUAAAUCGGGGCCUGGUUUAAUUUGGUCUCCAUAAAAACGGCAGUAAACUGAGCCUUUCUUACAUUUACGGGAUGAAGCACAUGAUUUCGGAGCUGGGCUUGAAGUAGCCUGUAAACUCUCCUUGACGAACCUAAAUGUGGAAGUCGAGGUAGCAGCCUUUGGUUGUGGACCAGGACCCUGUUUACCCCAACGCGAGGGUGACGAAUGAGAAGCCAACCUCAGACUGACCUGUGAGGACAGACUCCAGAGCCCGACCGUUUAACACGACACGUCUGCUGACUGAGGCACACGCCUGAAGAAACAUUGUCUGAAGAUGAUCCGAAAACAGAGCAGACUCCUUUUUGCUCACAGCACCGAGACGCCUGGACAGUUACACAAGUGUGUUAUUGUUU